UACAGAGGUCUCAAGCGUUGUUCGGAUUCAUUGGGCGUAAAGGGUGCGUAGGCGGCGGGCAAGUCUGAUGUGAAAUCCUGGGGCUCAACCCUGGAACUGCAUUGGAUACUGCCUUGCUAGAGUACUGGAGAGGAAACUGGAAUUUACGGUGUAGCAGUGAAAUGCGUAGAGAUCGUAAGGAAGACCAGUGGCGAAGGCGAGUUUCUGGACAGUUACUGACGCUGAGGCACGAAGGCCAGGGGAGCAAACGGG
rnacentral:rRNA from 1 species